rnacentral:rRNA from 1 species
CAGGCUUAACACAUGCAAGUCGAGGGGCAGCAUGGUCUUAGCUUGCUAAGGCCGAUGGCGACCGGCGCACGGGUGAGUAACACGUAUCCAACCUGCCGUCUACUCUUGGACAGCCUUCUGAAAGGAAGAUUAAUACAAGAUGGCAUCAUGAGUCCGCAUGUUCACAUGAUUAAAGGUAUUCCGGUAGACGAUGGGGAUGCGUUCCAUUAGAUAGUAGGCGGGGUAACGGCCCACCUAGUCUUCGAUGGAUAGGGGUUCUGAGAGGAAGGUCCCCCACAUUGGAACUGAGACACGGUCCAAACUCCUACGGGAGGCAGCAGUGAGGAAUAUUGGUCAAUGGGCGAGAGCCUGAACCAGCCAAGUAGCGUGAAGGAUGACUGCCCUAUGGGUUGUAAACUUCUUUUAUAAAGGAAUAAAGUCGGGUAUGGAUACCCGUUUGCAUGUACUUUAUGAAUAAGGAUCGGCUAACUCCGUGCCAGCAGCCGCGGUAAUACGGAGGAUCCGAGCGUUAUCCGGAUUUAUUGGGUUUAAAGGGAGCGUAGAUGGAUGUUUAAGUCAGUUGUGAAAGUUUGCGGCUCAACCGUAAAAUUGCAGUUGAUACUGGAUAUCUUGAGUGCAGUUGAGGCAGGCGGAAUUCGUGGUGUAGCGGUGAAAUGCUUAGAUAUCACGAAGAACUCCGAUUGCGAAGGCAGCCUGCUAAGCUGCAACUGACAUUGAGGCUCGAAAGUGUGGGUAUCAAACAGGAUUAGAUACCCUGGUAGUCCACACGGUAAACGAUGAAUACUCGCUGUUUGCGAUAUACUGCAAGCGGCCAAGCGAAAGCGUUAAGUAUUCCACCUGGGGAGUACGCCGGCAACGGUGAAACUCAAAGGAAUUGACGGGGGCCCGCACAAGCGGAGGAACAUGUGGUUUAAUUCGAUGAUACGCGAGGAACCUUACCCGGGCUUAAAUUGCAGAUGAAUUACGGUGAAAGCCGUAAGCCGCAAGGCAUUUGUGAAGGUGCUGCAUGGUUGUCGUCAGCUCGUGCCGUGAGGUGUCGGCUUAAGUGCCAUAACGAGCGCAACCCUUAUCUUCAGUUACUAACAGGUCAUGCUGAGGACUCUGGAGAGACUGCCGUCGUAAGAUGUGAGGAAGGUGGGGAUGACGUCAAAUCAGCACGGCCCUUACGUCCGGGGCUACACACGUGUUACAAUGGGGGGUACAGAAGGACGCUACCUGGUGACAGGAUGCCAAUCCCAAAAACCUCUCUCAGUUCGGAUCGAAGUCUGCAACCCGACUUCGUGAAGCUGGAUUCGCUAGUAAUCGCGCAUCAGCCAUGGCGCGGUGAAUACGUUCCCGGGCCUUGUACACACCGCCCGUCAAGCCAUGAAAGCCGGGGGUACCUGAAGUACGUAACCGCAAGGAGCGUCCUAGGGUAAAACUGGUAAUUGGGGCUAAGU